rnacentral:pre_miRNA from 1 species
CUUAUACUCCCUCCGUCCCAAAAUUCUUGUGUUAGAUUUGUCUAGAUAUGAAUGUAUCUAAACACGUUUUAGUAUUUAGAUGCAUUCAUUUCUAGACAAACCUAAGACAAGAAUUUGGGACGGAGGGAGUACAUG